UACGUAGGGCGCAAGCGUUAUCCGGAAUUAUUGGGCGUAAAGAGCUCGUAGGCGGUUUGUCGCGUCUGCCGUGAAAGUCCGGGGCUCAACUCCGGAUCUGCGGUGGGUACGGGCAGACUAGAGUGAUGUAGGGGAGACUGGAAUUCCUGGUGUAGCGGUGAAAUGCGCAGAUAUCAGGAGGAACACCUAUGGCGAAGGCAGGUCUCUGGGCCGAUACUGACGCUGAGGAGCGAAAGCGUGGGGAGCGAACAGG
rnacentral:rRNA from 1 species